AUUGAACGCUGGCGGCAGGCCUAACACAUGCAAGUCGAGCGGAUGAAGGGAGCUUGCUCCUGGAUUCAGCGGCGGAUGGGUGAGUAAUGCCUAGGAAUCUGCCUGGUAGUGGGGGAUAACGUCCGGAAACGGGCGCUAAUACCGCAUACGUCCUGAGGGAGAAAGUGGGGGAUCUUCGGACCUCACGCUAUCAGAUGAGCCUAGGUCGGAUUAGCUAGUUGGUGGGGUAAAGGCCUACCAAGGCGACGAUCCGUAACUGGUCUGAGAGGAUGAUCAGUCACACGGGAACUGAGACACGGUCCAGACUCCUACGGGAGGCAGCAGUGGGGAAUAUUGGACAAUGGGCGAAAGCCUGAUCCAGCCAUGCCGCGUGUGUGAAGAAGGUCUUCGGAUUGUAAAGCACUUUAAGUUGGGAGGAAGGGCAGUAAGUUAAUACCUUGCUGUUUUGACGUUACCAACAGAAUAAGCACCGGCUAACUUCGUG
rnacentral:rRNA from 1 species